GGACCGGAAAGAGAACCUUUCCGGGGAAGCCUAUGCCGGGGCGGGAGAAGACAUCAGAGAAUCAGAUACGAUGGGGAGACCUCCCACACAUAAUAUCAGUUAUUGCAGUGCUGCGUGUUAUGAACUUACAAAGCUUCAAGCUUGUAUUUGAUGAAAGUUAAGAAAUGAAGAGUGAGGAGAGAGAUGAAACAACAUUUUUGCUGGAGGAAGAGGUUCAGACAAGAGGACCAAGGAAUUGGAAUUAAUAAAGUAUUACUCCUCCAGAUAAUCAGCUGCAAACCCAUCCCAAUUAGGCUAAGAGGGGCAUUCACUUUUUUGAUUCUCCCUCACAUUUGGGCUAUACUGACCUCUUCCCUGUAUCAUUCAGAAGUUAAAGGGAGAAUAAGUUCUGCUCUGGAAAACUUCAACUUGUCAGAAGUUACGUGAUGUUGGUGUCAGGAAGACUUAUUUCAUCCCGUCACCUGGCUUUUCCAUGACUCUCCUCCUGCUCCCAGCCCCAUCUGUUUCCAUAUUACAUGCAUGUUACCACGGACUGGAAGAGUAUGGGAAGAAAUUCAUCCUAGUAUGGAUUUCUUUCAAGGCAUGUUUCUCUCACUCCCAUUUUGUCUUGAUCUUCUGUUAACUAUCAUAAGAUAAAAUCAGGCAGCUUGACAUUUUUAUUGUGUUUUCCACGCAACAGGUUGGGUUAACCUAUGUGGGUUAACUUACCGCUAAUUUACGUGCAAAAUGCCAACUCUCUUCUCCUAGCCUGGCUUUGAGUUUGAAUGGGUUACCUCAGUGUAAAAGCAAACCUCCUUUCAAAAUGGAGAUGCUUUUUCCGCAUCUGAAGUAGUCUGUCAUCCUACAUAGAUGCAAUGUAUGAGAACAUAGAUAUCUCUCUGCUGUUUCAUUUUCUUCUUUUCAGUUGUAAACUCAAAAAGCAGGGGGUGAAUGGAAAAGAGAUGUCCUGGGAAAUCUGGUCAUUGCUGUUAUCAUUCCUGCCAAAUGAAUACAGAGGCAGUGAGCCUUUUAAAAUAAGGAUCAUGCUCGAUAUUUUAAAACAAAAUCCACCUCUUGCUGUCUGCAUCUCAUGUAAGACUGCACACAUCCUGGAAAAAAUCGAUUGAAGGGUUUCUGUGUUAUGAAACAUAGGCACUUUCUUUUUAAUUAUUGCACUUAGCUUAAGGCUAUGCUUCUCUGUGACUGGCUAACCUGGAUCUGUUAAAACUCCUUUACAACUCAGAAUUCAACAGCAUUAGCAGAUUUGAUUGUUCUAAAUUCUUACUGGAAAUGCUUGUGCUGAGUCUGACUUCAAAUAUAACUAAUGCAACCAGAAUGUAGCUCUUCCUAUUGAUUAUUUAGCCUGAAUACCAAUUAAUAAGGAUGUAAUCCUCCAUCUUUAUGUUUAAAAAGAAUUUAUUUGCUUAUUCGGAAGGGUCAGAAUGCAAGUUCUAGUGAAUAAAGUGGACAGAGCACUUUUGCCCACUGGACUAUUGUCUUGAGAUUGAACAAAAUCAUGGACAGUUAUACCAGAGAGGGUUUGAAGAAGCCCGUCAAAAUGUCUGCACGCAGACUGGCCCUGCAGCAUAGGAGCAGCAGAAUGGACUGCCACAAGGGAGAUCUGUGUAGGUAUUUAUACCAUGCUCAUUGCCAUGGUAACUGCCUUAUGAAAUGUAGACAUUACAUACAGAAGUGUUUGUGCUUUCCUGCCUCUCGCACACUCGCUCCUUCCCUCCCCUCCAGCACUGGAGCUUUCAUGGAUGCUUUUAUAGCGAGGAGGCCUAGUAUCAGACAGUGACCUGCACUUAUUCCCAAAACCUUGGAACUCCUGGGCCAGACUGGUCCAGUGCACCCUGGACUGUGCCCUUCAGCACCGGAUCCUCCAGUCCUGCAGCCAUCCACCCAUCACAGGUGCUCCCGAGCCCUUUGAGUGUGCCUGGUGAUUUCAGUGUCCCUCAACAAUAUUGGAAGGGCAUAGCUGUGGAGAAGGAUCACCAAGACUUAACUCAGUGCGUGUCUCCUGCCUCCCCAGGGACAUGGUACACAGCAGCCAUAGGCAGGAUGCACUGACCUCAGACUUCGUUGAUGGGCUAUCUGCCAGAUGUAUUGAGCAGUUAUGAAGGGAUGAGUACAAGAGUCAUGUCCUCACUCCUACCCUGAGGAAAACUGACAUAACACCAUACUGCUCUCUGGACCUUAAAAUGGUUUACAGCAUGGAUGCACCCACCCUACACAGCUGAGCGUAGUUUUCAGACUCUGGACCAGCACAGACCACGGAUUCCCGCUUCUUUAGAGAAAACAUUUUCUAUGUAAGCAGCCACAUCCCAGAAUCAUUCAAGAUGGGAACUCUUCUUUCUGUGGUCACAUCUGGCACUGACUGUGUGAAUUUUAGAGAUUGCGCUGUAUCCCCUGAAGGAGCUUUUGGAAGACAACCCAAAUGGAAGAUGAGUAUGCUAGAAAGGAAAAAAGAGAAGAAAACCAGUGUAUGGAUUGCAAUAGUAGAGCUGUAUCGGUUCCUUGAGCAACUGCACAAGUAUUUACAGUAGUGUGAAGAAACAGGGAGCCCAGGGACAGGGACAAGAUGCUGGCAGUGAGCAGAACCACUCUCAUCUCAUCUCUGAGAUGCCAGCAUCUGUCUGCUUAAACGUUGGUCAAGUUGAAUCCUAAGGAGAAAGGGAACUGGCAAUAAAAUACAGAUAGCUGAAGAAAACUUCUGGCAAAAAAGGAGAGAGUGGAGUGACGAAUAUGUUACUACAGGUUCCAAAAUCCUACUACUCUGCAUGCUACACUGUUAAAUCCUCUUCAGACUGGAAAAAAAAUUAAAAAACCUUCAAUCCCAAGAAAGAAAAAGAAAACUGGCUUUACAAAAUAACAAAUUUCCUUCCUGUACAUAUUUUUAGAUUUAUGGCUUUCUUACAAGCUAUUUUAUAAAGCUCGGACAAAACUAUUGAUACAAAAUCUGAAAUGGAUCUGCACUUUGGUUCAAAUCAUGUUAGCAUGUGAUUUACUCUUAAAUAAUCUUUUUCUAUUGUUCCUUUCUCUAUGCUCACCUUUUUUUUCCUUUCCCCCCACUCCAAAACUGCAGUAGUAACCUUUCUGCUACCAGACUACCCUGUUUUGAAACUUUUCAUGGUUUCUUAAUGAUACCGGUUUCACAUGAUCCUAUUCUGUAACUGUCCGUCUGCUUAUUAGUUCCCCUUCAGCCUUUCAACUAAUUUCAAUAAACUUUGAAUGAGGGAAAAGGGCUUUCAAAGAGAUGUUAAUUCCUACAAAGUUUAGGAAGACUGUUAGCAAGAGGAGGAAGAAACUGAGGAAAUGCAGUAGUUCACAAAUCUACAGAAUUUCUUGCAGUUUUUUAAACAACAUUCUCAUCUACCGCACUUGGGAAUAACAUUGACAAGUUUUAAGAACAGUUUCCUUCUUCCCUCACUCUACUCCUAAGGCUGGAAGGAAGUCAGACUUCUUCAAGGUUCAUGUGGAUGAAGAGGACUAUAUGGUUGUCAAAUGAAUUUGUUGAACUUUGUCCAAAUUCUAUGAGACUGAAGCUUUUCACAUGGACAGUGUAUGGUUUAUUCGAGGACAGUUCAGCUAGGAACAAACCAGACAGAAAAAAUAAAGUAUUCUGAAUUGUUCCCUCUCCAAAAGAUGGACAAGCUGCACUUUUGGGCCUGUAAAUAGACAUUUUCACAACCAGUCUCUGCAAUAUCUUCUAAGCAUUUGGUAGAUAUAUAAAGAAUUUCUGGUUUUCCUGAUCAUUUAACCCUUAUUUGAGCAACUAAAUGAAUAACAGGAAAAUGCCAUACCAUAUUUUUCUUAUCCUAAGAAUUGCUCCUACUCAGAUACCAUUCCUUCUUCCACGUAAGAGACCACAGGUCCCUACAAAAUCUUUUUCUUACCAACUUCCUAAGUUGAUUUCUAGCCAAGCGUGCAUUCUUUUGUACCUCUAAGUAUGGAGUACAAAUUUGGUUUGAUUGCAUCUAUGAAUCUUUGAAGAGUGACAUCAUGAUCACUCCAACAACAGUGUUAACAUUUCACACAACCAGAAAUCGAAAGUGGAAAGAUGGAAAGUUAUGACUAUGAAGCCUUAUAUUGAUGCGAGGAAUGGUAAUUGAAGUAGCCACCUCAGGAGAAACUAAAAUGGAAUGCCUACACUCUACCUUUUUUUGUAACAGAAAAGAGAUAGAGCAUCACUCCAACUUCUUGAUACAUUACUUCUAUGUGGGUUUUUAUUCCUAAUUUUGAAUCUUAAUUUAUAUGUACAGUAAGUACUGUCUGAUACCUCAGGGUGACAUCAUCCUCCCCCUCCCAUCCCAAGUUUAUUAACUCAGUAUAGUAUGGAAGGUAGAAAUUACAUAUGAGUUUUGGAAUACAUACACAAUAGCUAAUUUUUUUAAUUUACUGCAUUUGGAUUCUGGUUUUGUUCCAUAUAGAAAAGCCUAAAUAUAUGGUGUCUAGAUAUAAUAAUUAUAUGCUAAACACUUUAAACCCAUCUUAAUUAUUUGUUAUUGGAAUAACUUUAUUGGGUUUUCCUUAUCAGUUUAGGGAUACAGAGGGCAAAGUUCUCACUGACCUGCUUGACAUUUUCCCAUCAGAUACACUAAUCUCCUGCCAUGUUGGUUAGAAAAUAUAUAUGAAUCAGGGCCCUGAGGGCAUUAACAGCGCCCCAAAGCAGCCUUGGCUGGGGCCUCCCCACACCCCUGCCCAAGACCCCAUUUCAGCCUAGCCAAGCAUAGAGGUGCCCAAUGCCUUGGGCUGGGGCUGCCCCUGUUGCCCUGGCUGCUCCUGGCUGGGGCAGUGGGAUGGGCUAGAGCUGCCAGGUCCUACUUGGAUGCCCUGGGGAGCCCCCAGUGCUCCUGGGCCCAGGGGAAAAGCUGGUCCCUGGGGUGCUCUGAUGAAACAAAUUUCCUAUGGGAAACACCUCUGGAAUUGUUUUUCGUUUUUGUCAUGCCUUACCCAAUCAAUAGUAACCACCACCAUGUGCACUGAGUGUGAGAGUGACAAUAUCAGACACUAUGUGUUGUAUUUGGGACUUGUUAUUGUUCCCAGUAUGAAAAUAUCAUUUAAUCAUCAAUGUAAUGUUCUGUGACCACUAUGAUGUAAUUAUGCUUUACAUUAGAAAUGACAACUGUGAAAGACAGUUCUUUUCUGAAAGGGAUGACAUCCUAAGAUUCGAUGCUGUACAAAGAGACAUACACCACUCACCAUUAUUGCCAAAAUACUAUCCAAAAUAUACACUGCAUAAACUAAAGACUCGGGCAAGCGCAAAGUACUCUUUUCCUUACUGGCACAUGCAGGCUUAAAUAAGUCAAUGAAAGAUUAUGUAAACCAAGAGCACUACUACUCAUGUGCUUAAGUGAUUUACUGGAGCGGGCCCAAAAAUACUGAAAACAUUGCAACAUUUAUGCUUGAUGUGAUCCCAUGAAACAAAUCUUAAUGUUCAGGCGUAGCUUAUUUGAUUUUCAAGCAGCAUUUUAUUUUCUUUUUAAAAGAUACUUUCCUUAUCUGCUACGCUGCCUGUUCUGUUUUCUGAGAGUUGGUAGGUACCACAUAAUACCGCACCCAAGGGGCUGAACCGGAAGGGCAAAAAAAAUGAUCUUUCAUGGGUCUGGGGUAAAAUUCUGCUUUCUCUUUUCUGUUGCUGCUCUUUUAUACUACCCAGUUGCAAAGCUCCAUAGCAUUACCCUGCUUCAGCAACAUUCUAAGUUUCAUUUCUGUCUAUGGAUCAGUGCGAUGUCAAUCAGACUUUGAGAAGUGGGGAUAAACAUAUCUAUUAACAGUGGAGAUUUUCUAAAUUCUGAAUCAUUCCCUCACCAAAAUGAUUCACAUUUCAUUUCUUUUGGGUUAGUCAAUGAACAAUGCAACCAGCCAGGUUGCAGCUGGUUUCACUUUUUGUUUGACAGGCUGACUGUGGUGCGAGAGCUGGGAAGCCUGCAGGGAAACGCUUCCUUUCCCCAUGUUUUCGCACUGAAUUAAAAAUGUUGCAAAAGCAUUUCUAAUCAUACCAACGGUUGUGAACAGAGAGGAAUUAGCUGGAAGGACUACCGAGGAAUAAAUUAGUCUGUCAUAGUUCUCUGUGUGGAUGCUUAUUUUAGAACAAUUAAUGAGUUUUUUGAGUGCCUACUGACUUCUGUCUUCAUACUAUGGAUACUCUUUAAUCAGCAAUUUAUCUCACUCAUAUCCUUUUGUUUCCAUAGUUGCUGCAACAAGAUAAACCGGUAACAUCUACUUGCAGUACUGGGGUGGGGGGGAAGUGUCAAUAUUUUCCAAAAGCAAAGCAGUGUCAUCCAAGAUGAGCCACAGCAAUGUCCCUAGAAAACUCUGGAAGCCCAAGAGGCAUAGAUUUUUGUUUGGGGAGCAGGAAGAAUUCCCUAGUCGGAAGUGUGGUGUGCAGUCUGCUUCUUCAGUAACCACAAAGUGCCACUGCUGUCCCAAUAUCUUCUUUUAUUUAGUGCCAUAAAUAGCUGUCGACUUCAGCCUAUCGUGACCUUUGAUUAGCACGGCCACAGGCAACUGCAGGUCUGUUGAAGCACUUCAGAUUAUACUUUUAAAACAGAAAGGAGAUCAAAUACAAAAGUCAGAGAAUAAACACGAAGUAAUGUAUUUAUUUUCCCCACACAAGUGCAAAAUUUCUCUUGUAUCUUGCUAUGCUUCCAUGAAUGUUACAUGAAGUACAAUCUAAAAUCACAAGAGUACUACCAAAGGUGCUGGAAAGCUGAAGAGGAAUCAGUUUGUUCCAAACCUAAGGUUUCAAUUAAAUUACUCAGAGUUUCUACGCUCUCUUGGCUGAAGGAACCCUUCUUCACAAGAGGGAAUACUUGCUACAAGUUGUACCAGUACUGUUUCCACAAGUAUUAUUCGUAUCUUUUUUUUUUGUUGUUGACUUUUAUGUGAACUGGCACCGAGUUUCUUGGUGGACAAUUGCCCACAUUAUAAAAAUGCACUGAAGUGUUACUGUUCAGCUCUGCCAAAAAAAGCCACUGCAGUUGGAAGGAACACGGUAUUUGGCUUGUCAUUAAAAGAGGGGUCUACUGAACAAUAAAAAGAAAUGACCAUCAGUAAACACAGCAGUUUAUUUUUAAGGGCAAGAAGUGUCAAAAAGUACACAACUACAAUAGUCCGAGCUGCCGUUGUGCCCCUGUAAGCCAUCAUAAAGAGUGACGAGCUUGAAGGAGAAUACUGUGGCAGGCAAGGGAAGUUAAACAUGUUAUAGGUGCAGUGAUUUUAAAUGCUUUCCCAGGAGAAACAAAUGGAUAAAUUUGAAGUAGAAGGAAAAGCCCAAAGUAAUUCAUAAGGGACAAAGAAAAAAGAGGCCACAGUAACACGCUUGGAGGCAUGAAAAUCACUGAGAUAACAGGGCUGUUCUUUCUCUUACACAGACUUCUAACCCAAACAUGAACAGGCUUACACAGCUUUUCACCAUAGUUAUGGCUUGUUUUUACUGUUGGUGAAGAAAAUGCAUGUAAAACUAUUCUUUCAGUAAACAAAUUGUUGCAUUGGUACAGUAAUGAAGCAGCUGCAUCCUUUAUUUUGUUUAGCGAGUGGUUAAUGCAAUUGAGAUGUACUUCAGACUCCCUUCCCAAAUAAUACAACCUAGUGAUUAGCAAAAAAAGGACUAACUCUAACUUUGUUAAAAUAGGAAAUAACGGCAGAUAUCACCACUUGGUUUGGAUCUCUAGCUUUUUACAGAAAAACACCCACCCACAGCUCCUGCAAUG